rnacentral:rRNA from 1 species
AGAGUUUGAUCCUGGCUCAGGAUGAACGCUGGCGGCGUGCCUAACACAUGCAAGUCGAACGGACUUUUCAUGAAGCCUAGCGAUUGAAAAGUUAGUGGCGGACGGGUGAGUAACGCGUGGGUAACCUGCCUUGUACUGGGGGACAACAGUUGGAAACGACUGCUAAUACCGCAUAAGCGCACAGCUUCGCAUGAAGCGGUGUGAAAAACUCCGGUGGUACAAGAUGGACCCGCGUCUGAUUAGCUGGUUGGUGAGGUAACGGCCCACCAAGGCGACGAUCAGUAGCCGGCCUGAGAGGGUGAACGGCCACAUUGGGACUGAGACACGGCCCAAACUCCUACGGGAGGCAGCAGUGGGGAAUAUUGCACAAUGGGGGAAACCCUGAUGCAGCAA